rnacentral:rRNA from 1 species
GACGAACGCUGGCGGCGUGCUUAACGCAUGCCAGUCGAACGGAAAGGCCCUGCUUUUGUGGGGUGCUCGAGUGGCGAACGGGUGAGUAACACGUGAGUAACCUGCCCUUGACUUUGGGAUAACUUCAGGAAACUGGGGCUAAUACCGGAUAGGAGCUCCUGCUGCAUGGUGGGGGUUGGAAAGUUUCGGCGGUUGGGGAUGGACUCGCGGCUUAUCAGCUUGUUGGUGGGGUAGUGGCUUACCAAGGCUUUGACGGGUAGCCGGCCUGAGAGGGUGACCGGCCACAUUGGGACUGAGAUACGGCCCAGACUCCUACGGGAGGCAGCAGUGGGGAAUAUUGCACAAUGGGCGGAAGCCUGAUGCAGCAACGCCGCGUGCGGGAUGACGGCCUUCGGGUUGUAAACCGCUUUCGCCUGUGACGAAGCGUGAGUGACGGUAAUGGGUAAAGAAGCACCGGCUAACUACGUG